UCUUAAUAUUGAAUGCCUGCAUGAAGUUCCUUUUUCAUGAAUUUGCUUCUGUCUCCUACUGGUCUAUGAGUUUAUUAGGAGUAAAAGGAAAUAAAGGAAAUAUUUGUUUACUGAGCUUGCAUAUCGUGCUGGCACCACAUCAGGGCCAGCACAUACAUGGGUUCCUUUUACUAUAUCUGUCUUUUACAGGACAGAAAUUGGGGGCUGAGAGAUUGGAAUAGCUGGAGUGACAGCACAGAGCCAGGACAUGACAUAGCUGAGGUUCAAAGCUAGGUCUGUUUGACUCCAAAGCCUCGCUAGUCUCAUCCCUCCUCUCCACAGCCUCUCAUGUAGCAGGACCUGAUGGCACUGAGCCUGGGCAGCAUGGAGUGCUGCAGGGAAAUGCGCUCUGGCAUCUCUGGAAGCCAUGCAAGGGACUCAUUCAACAAAUUGUUUGCUGAGUAUCAAUGCACAGCAGGUGUCAUGGCCCGCAGUCCCCUGAAAUUUGCAGCCCUGGAUUUAGGACAUUUCUGCCUCACUGAAGCCCAAUCCAGGAUCUGCAAAGUUUGGGGGAGAUAAACAGUGUUUCCUGGAGAUUCACUUCCUUCGGCACUCUUUUGAAUAAAUUUCUGUGUUCAUCAUUACUGUCAUCAGAC
rnacentral:lncRNA from 1 species